CCUACGGGGGGCAGCAGUGAGGAAUAUUGCACAAUGGGCGCGAGCCUGAACCAGCCACGCAGCGUGAAGGAUGACGGCCCUCCGGGUUGUAAACUCCUUUUAUAAAGGAAUAAAGUGAGGCACGUUAGCCUUUUUGUAUGUACUUUAUGCAUAAGGAUCGGCUAACUCCGUGCCAGCAGCCGCGGGAAUACGGAGGAUCCGAGCGUUAUCCGGAUUUAUUGGGUGUAAAGGGAGCGUAGAUGGGUUGUUAAGUCAGUUGUGAAAGUUUGCGGCUCAACCGUAAAAUUGCAAUUGAUACUGGCAGUCUUGAGUGCAGUUGAGGUAGGCGGAAUUCGUGGUGUAGCGGUGAAAUGCUUAGAUAUUACGAAGAACUCCGAUGGCGAAGGCAGCUUACUAAGCUUCAACUGACAUUGAUGCUCGAAAGUGUGGGGAGCAAACAGGAUUAGAUACCCGGGUAGUC
rnacentral:rRNA from 1 species